GCAGGGGCGGCGUGCCGUCGGUGUCGAUCUCCACCUGGAUUGAUUCGAAGUGCGGCAGCGUAGUGCUUGACGAGGGGCGCGACGUCCAUGGCGCUCAAGCUUCGGCGACCAUGCUGGAACAACCAACUUACUCCGCAACGACGACGACCACCAUCCCUCUGACCACCAUGCCUUUUUACCACUGUACUUCAAACCAUCUUCACUCAUCCUAGAAAAACAUACUGUAUAGAGUAGGUGCUUGCUACGGUUGCCAAUCCGGGCCUCCGGCAACUAAAUUCGAGACAUAAACAUAUGUUUUGUCUAAUAGCAGGUGCAGAUGCUAGAGGCUAGGCGUCGACACCUCCGGCCUCAUGGCACUCCGUGCAAAGCCAAGUUUGCAGUACCAAGUUGGCACCCUCUUAUCCUCUACAGGUACUAUAUUGGUUAAGCAAGAGGUAUUGUCUUUCCUAGCCAUCAGCAUUAUUUUGAUCUCUAUGCUAGCAUAAUACAAAUAAAAAGUUAAAUCAAUUGAUAAUGUUCUUCUUCUGACUGAAUAAAUUCAUUUUUAGACAGUUAGUGGCAGGGGCAGUUGGUCAGAUAUAAAGCCUUCUGGUAAACCUGGCCGAUUUGAUGGUCGAAGUAGCUACUGAUUUGCUAACGGGUCACUGCUUUGCAAGAUGAAACUGGCCCAUAUUCGUCCCGCACAUAGUUGACUCGUGCUGGAAAGACUGGAGUCCCUCAAAGAAAAAAAAUAUUGAGACUGAUGGCGGCAGAAUGAAAAAGAAGCUUGGCCAUCUCUUCUGUUACUGUUGCUGGCAUUAGGCCUCAAGCGUCUGGAUGAUGAGUAUGGUGUGGAGGCUGUCGGGCUGCAGUCCCAUGGAGUUCUAUGCCUCCAUAGGAAGUGGAUACAAUUGAAGCGCCAUAUACAAUUCACCGACCUCGCCGUGAUGAGAGAGAAGGUGGCCACCAAUAGUAGAUAUUCGAGCUAAGGAGUAACACGACACAAAGGACUGUUGGUUGAUAAGAUUCAUCCACAUACCAUGUCAAUAUUCUUGGACAAGUACGUAUAGUGUUUUCUACCCUCUAGGACUUUGGUAACUUAUUAUUAGGUUGAUCUUUAGUCUUUGGGAGUUUGAUAGCAGGUUAUUAGUUUGAUCUUUAGUCUACAGAUCCAAAGGAGAUCAUAUGGCAUAUAGAGUUUUACUUUAAACUUUGUAAAGGAUACUCAGAUGUGUACACAUUAGAUGGCCACUUGCUAUAAAAAC